rnacentral:rRNA from 1 species
AUUGAACGCUGGCGGAAUGCUUUACACAUGCAAGUCGAACGGCAGCACGGGGGCAACCCUGGUGGCGAGUGGCGAACGGGUGAGUAAUACAUCGGAACGUGCCCAGUCGUGGGGGAUAACUACGCGAAAGCGUAGCCAAUACCGCAUACGAUCUACGGAUGAAAGCGGGGGAUCGCAAGACCUAGCGCUGGAAGAGGGGCCCGCGUCCGAUUAGCUAGUUGGUGAGGUAACGGCUCACCAAGGCAACGAUCGGUAGCCGGCCUGAGAGGGCGGACGGCCACACUGGGACUGAGACACGGCCCAGACUCCUACGGGAGGCAGCAGUAGGGAAUUGUUCGCAAUGGGCGCAAGCCUGACGACGCAACGCCGCGUGGAGGAUGAAGAUUUUCGGAUCGUAAACUCCUUUCGAUCGAGACGAAUGGCCUCCGGGUGAAGUACCCCGGAGGAAUGACGGUACCGAGAGAAGAAGCCCCGGCUAACUCCGUGACAGCAGCCGC